rnacentral:rRNA from 1 species
CCUACGGGAGGCAGCAGUGAGGAAUAUUGGUCAAUGGGCGCGAGCCUGAACCAGCCAAGUAGCGUGAAGGAUGACUGCCCUACGGGUUGUAAACUUCUUUUAUAAAGGAAUAAAGUGAGCACCUUGUGCCUUUUUGUAGGUCCUUAAUGAAUAAGGACCGGCUACUUCCGUGCAAGCAGCCGGGGUAAUACGGAGGAUCCGGGCGUUAUCCGGAUUUAUUGGGUUUAAAGGGAGCGUAGAUGGGUUGUUAAGUCAGUUGUGAAAGUUUGCGGCUCAACCUUAAAAUUGCAAUUGAUACUGGCAGCCUUGAGUACAGUUGAGGUAGGCGGAAUUCGUGGUGUAGCGGUGAAAUGCUUAGAUAUCACGAAGAACUCCGAUUGCGAAGGCAGCUUACUAAACUGCCACUGACAUUGAUGCUCGAAAGUGUGGGUAUCAAACAGGAUUAGAUACCCGUGUAGUC